rnacentral:rRNA from 1 species
UACGUAGGAUGCAAGCGUUGUCCGGAAUUAUUGGGCGUAAAGAGCGCGCAGGCGGUAACUCAAGUCAGAUGUGAAAUAUCCGGGCUUGACCCGGAGGGGUCAUUUGAAACUGAGUAACUAGAGUACAGCAGAGGAUAGCGGAAUUCCCGGUGUAGUGGUGAAAUGCGUAGAUAUCGGGAGGAACACCAGUGGCGAAGGCGGCCAUCUGGGACAACACUGACGCUGAGGCACGAAAGCGUGGGGAGCAAACAGG